GAUGAACGCUAGCGGCAGGCCUAACACAUGCAAGUCGAGGGAGAGGUUACCUUCGGGUAACCAAAACCGGCGCACGGGUGCGUAACGCGUAUACAAUCUGCCUUUCACAUAGGGAUAGCCCGAAGAAAUUUGGAUUAAUACCUAAUGGUAUAUAAGAGCGGCAUCGUUUUUAUAUUAAAGCUACGGUGGUGAAAGAUGAGUAUGCGUUCUAUUAGCUAGUUGGAGAGGUAACGGCUCCCCAAGGCGACGAUAGAUAGGGGUUCUGAGAGGGAUGUCCCCCACACUGGUACUGAGAUACGGACCAGACUCCUACGGGAGGCAGCAGUGAGGAAUAUUGGACAAUGGUCGGAAGACUGAUCCAGCCAUGCCGCGUGCAGGAUGAAGGUCCUAUGGAUUGUAAACUGCUUUUGUAAGGGAAGAAUAAGGAGUACGUGUACUUUGAUGACGGUACCCUACGAAUAAGCAUCGGCUAACUCCGUG
rnacentral:rRNA from 1 species